rnacentral:rRNA from 1 species
CGCGUAGACGGUUUUGUAAGUCAGAUGUGAAAUCCCUGGGCUCAACCUGGGAACUGCAUUUGAUACUGCAUGGUUAGAGUAUGGAAGAGGGAAGUGGAAUUUCCGGUGUAGCGGUGAAAUGCGUAGAUAUCGGAAGGAACACCAGUGGCGAAAGCGACUUCCUGGUCCAAUACUGACGUUCAUGUGCGAAAGCGUGGGGAGCAAACAGGAUUAGAUACCCUGGUAGUCCACGCCAUAAACGAUGACAACUAGAUGUUGGGAGGGUCUGCCUCUCGGUGUCGCAGCUAACGCGUUAAGUUGUCCGCCUGGGGAGUACGGCCGCAAGGUUGAA